GCACUACGGUGCUGAAGCGACAAAUGCCCUGCUUCCAGGAAAAGCCUCUAAGCAUCAGGUAACAUCAAAUCGUACCCCAAACCGACACAGGUGGUCAGGUAGAGAAUACCAAGGCGCUUGAGAGAACUCGGGUGAAGGAACUAGGCAAAAUGGUGCCGUAACUUCGGGAGAAGGCACGCUGAUAUGUAGGUGAAGCGACUUGCUCGUGGAGCUGAAAUCAGUCGAAGAUACCAGCUGGCUGCAACUGUUUAUUAAAAACACAGCACUGUGCAAACACGAAAGUGGACGUAUACGGUGUGACGCCUGCCCGGUGCCGGAAGGUUAAUUGAUGGGGUUAGCGGCAACGCGAAGCUCUUGAUCGAAGCCCCGGUAAACGGCGGCCGUAACUAUAACGGUCCUAAGGUAGCGAAAUUCCUUGUCGGGUAAGUUCCGACCUGCACGAAUGGCGUAAUGAUGGCCAGGCUGUCUCCACCCGAGACUCAGUGAAAUUGAACUCGCUGUGAAGAUGCAGUGUACCCGCGGCAAGACGGAAAGACCCCGUGAACCUUUACUAUAGCUUGACACUGAACAUUGAGCCUUGAUGUGUAGGAUAGGUGGGAGGCUUUGAAGUGUGGACGCCAGUCUGCAUGGAGCCGACCUUGAAAUACCACCCUUUAAUGUUUGAUGUUCUAACGUUGGCCCGUAAUCCGGGUUGCGGACAGUGUCUGGUGGGUAGUUUGACUGGGGCGGUCUCCUCCUAAAGAGUAACGGAGGAGCACGAAGGUUGGCUAAUCCUGGUCGGACAUCAGGAGGUUAGUGCAAUGGCAUAAGCCAGCUUGACUGCGAGCGUGACGGCGCGAGCAGGUGCGAAAGCAGGUCAUAGUGAUCCGGUGGUUCUGAAUGGAAGGGCCAUCGCUCAACGGAUAAAAGGUACUCCGGGGAUAACAGGCUGAUACCGCCCAAGAGUUCAUAUCGACGGCGGUGUUUGGCACCUCGAUGUCGGCUCAUCACAUCCUGGGGCUGAAGUAGGUCCCAAGGGUAUGGCUGUUCGCCAUUUAAAGUGGUACGCGAGCUGGGUUUAGAACGUCGUGAGACAGUUCGGUCCCUAUCUGCCGUGGGCGCUGGAGAACUGAGGGGGGCUGCUCCUAGUACGAGAGGACCGGAGUGGACGCAUCACUGGUGUUCGGGUUGUCAUGCCAAUGGCACUGCCCGGUAGCUAAAUGCGGAAGAGAUAAGUGCUGAAAGCAUCUAAGCACGAAACUUGCCCCGAGAUGAGUUCUCCCUGAGACUUAGAGUCUCCUGAAGGAACGUUGAAGACGACGACGUUGAUAGGCCGGGUGUGUAAGCGCAGCGAUGCGUUGAGCUAACCGGUACUAAUGAACCGUGAGGCUUAACCUU
rnacentral:rRNA from 1 species